rnacentral:snRNA from 1 species
AUACCUUAAGCUAAAGAGUAAGGAAAAUAACGAUUUAGGAUGACGCGUGGGUCCUCACAGCCAAUGUGAGAGAAAUUUUUGAAUGGGUACAAUCAUCCCUAUGGUGACUCACCUACUUAGCAGGGUGCCUGGCUGUUUUCUAA